UCCCCAUAAGAAGCAAUGUUGCUGGGUGUGCUUUUUCUAAUAAACCUUGAUGGAUGAUCAGGAAAAAAAAAAGCUGUCCAGUGGCUUGAUAAUUUCAGGGUCAAAACAAAUUUUAUGUGUUGAUCUUCUUUCACUUGCUGAUGCAUCUGUUUGACCAGGCAGCUGGUGCAUAAGAUCUAGCCAGCAGCACACAGAACACAUUAGGAGAACAAAGAGAAUAUGAGAUUAAACCAAAAAGAGGCAAGAACAGCAUUUCCUCACUGUUCUGCAUGAAGGCAGAAGAUGCUCCGAGAGGAUGCUAACUCAAUUUUCUUAUUGGACUUGUGGCCUCUUCCCCCCCAUCAGGUUAUUCAAAGCCCCAUCUGUGAAGAAACCUCGGACCUCUCCUGGCCUGAGAAGGCCCAAGAAAGGCAGUUCUGAUGCUCUUAUCAUUUGGCCUAUUCUCUGGGAGAUGAGAAGCCAGAUGCAGUAUUGGCUCGCAAGCUGAAAUGCUUUUAACCUCAUUACCAUGAGUAACGAUCCACGUCAGCCAUAAAAAGGUGAAGAUGAAGAAAACCCCAGGUGAUGUUAUCCUUGCAGCAGAUGAUUUAUGUUUGUUUUUUAAGAAAAUAAACAGAAAAUUAAGGAUGAAACAUCUUCCUGAAGAACAUACUGAAACACUUUAUGCAGAGUGUUACCCGAACAUGGAAUAGAACGUGUACACUGACAUAAACCACUGCAUUCUUGAGACUUCAGACCGUCUUGCAGGUUUUCAUAUCGUCUGGAAGAGAAACAGGUGGGAGGACAUGUUAGACGGAGACUAUUGGCACAAGAGAGAGAAAGCUCAGAUACUGCUGGAGCGAGAUAGAAGUGCAGUCUUUCUUCUGUGACCAUCAUAUAGAGUUUCAAACCAAAAGCUAUGGAAUGGGGUCAUGAAGUUGCCAGGUAGACUGAUGUCUUCACUCCUUGGAAAAACAACUUAAUCAUGCUCUGUCUUGAGCUGUUCUUGGCAAUUUAAGCCAUAUCCUGGAGAGAGUGGAGGGGAGAAAGUGCACAGUGGAGCCAGUAGACAAGUGUGUUACGGUGUUUGGUUUGUACAUGCUUAGGGAAGCUGGUCAGCUGCACAGGAAAAUGUCUGAUUGCUGACAAAGAGCAUACAAAUAAUUAUGCUUAUUUUUGAAAACCUCAUCUCCAUUUCCCAGUAUUUAUUUUAUUACAUUUUUUCUGCAGAUUAUAAUGACAAUAAUCCUUCCCAGACAAUGAUAUAAUGGUUGCAGCUUGAUCUGUCACCUAUUUAUGUGGCAGGUGGGGCUAACCAAGAAGUUAGGAAACAGAACUGUUUUCCUGAUUGGGGUCAGAAGGUAAAACAUAAUAAACUCUAUUUUUGUUUUUGUUGUUGUUUAUAGACAUAGGUCUUUGUUUUUAUUGUUGUUUAUAGACAUAGUUUCUCCCCAAAGUAAUUUUGGCUUAUUUGUAAUUUCCUUUUUUUGAUUGGUACACGGUAUUUAGCUAUUCAAUUCUCUGAUGUUCCAGCAAAUAGACAGGCAUUAUUUAAAAUAAAUGUUCUCUCAGACUGUGCA